CCAUCUACUCUUCUAAUCACAAGCAUUCACACAUAUCCAUGGAAUCAGUGUCUGCAGAACUCCACAAUAAAAUUAUGGAUGUGUUAUUUUCUCUCUUAACGUACCAGCGGGUCCAUCCUGGAGCUCUAGGAUCCUUCUUGCAAUCCGCCCAUCGAAUUUCCGCAGGGGGCUGAUUCUGAUCCAUUCCCGCCCUAAUCUAAUGGAGGGGGUACAUCAGGACGCCACUAACAUUAACCUCCUCCAACGCCGUUAAUCUGUGAAGCAAGCAGGGAAAGUUUCAGAUCCACGCCAUGGAAUCCAGAACGAACUCAAAUGCUACAGGAGAUUAACCGUUUGCUUACCUUUUAAUUGCCUGCAUCUGGAACUCCAUUUCCACCGGCAAAUCUUCGCUAAGUUGUCGAAUCGCUUCCCCCAAAGCUCGGCCCUCUCCGUGGCUCAGGAAGACGGCAACAGCGUGCGG
rnacentral:lncRNA from 1 species